CGCGUAUGCAAUCUGCCUUCCACAGAGGGAUAGCCCAGAGAAAUUUGGAUUAAUACCUCAUAGCAUCAUGACCCGGCAUCGGGAUAUGAUUAAAGUCACAACGGUGGAAGAUGAGCAUGCGUCCCAUUAGCUAGUUGGUAAGGUAACGGCUUACCAAGGCUACGAUGGGUAGGGGUCCUGAGAGGGAGAUCCCCCACACUGGUACUGAGACACGGACCAGACUCCUACGGGAGGCAGCAGUGAGGAAUAUUGGUCAAUGGGCGCAAGCCUGAACCAGCCAUGCCGCGUGCAGGAUGACGGUCCUAUGGAUUGUAAACUGCUUUUGUACGGGAAGAAACCCUCCUACGUGUAGGAGCUUGACGGUACCGUAAGAAUAAGGAUCGGCUAACUCCGUGCCAGCAGCCGCGGUAAUACGGAGGAUCCAAGCGUUAUCCGGAAUCAUUGGGUUUAAAGGGUCUGUAGGCGGUCUUGUAAGUCAGUGGUGAAAGCCCAUCGCUCAACGGUGGAACGGCCAUUGAUACUGCUGGACUUGAAUUAUUGGGAAGCAACUAGAAUAUGUAGUGUAGC
rnacentral:rRNA from 1 species